rnacentral:rRNA from 1 species
ACAUACGACCAUAGGGUGUGGAGAACAGGGCUUCCCGUCCGCUCAGCCGUACUUAAGCCACACGCCGGGAGGUUAGUAGUUGGGUGGGUGACCACCAGCGAAUCCCUCCUGUUGUAUGU